AUGCAUCAAAGAAACGCAACAAAAACGCUACGAAGCCGAAACGAGAAGAAGAAGAUCGGAAGCGGAAGUGUAAACACUAAAAAGAACGUAAGCUUCGUACCUGGCAAACGAGGAUUCUCUGGAUUUCUUGUGACGUCGACGCCGUUGAAAGCGCACCGGACAAAUUCUGGUAGGCAAGCCUCAAACUCUCACUUCUCUUGA